GCACAGAUUCUGUUCUCUUGUAAAGGAGUUUCUCAGGCAACAACAGCCAAUUUGGGGAGAAUAUUAUGGACAUUAAAUAAUGCAAAGAAUAUAAUAAAAAUCUUGACUUUUUUA